rnacentral:rRNA from 1 species
UCGGACUGGCCCAGGGAGGUCGGCAACGACCACCCAGGGCCGGAAAGUUGGUCAAACUCGGUCAUUUAGAGGAAGUAAAAGUCGUAACAAGGUCUCCGUAGGUGAACCUGCGGAGGGAUCAUUACUGAGUGAGGGCUCACGCCCGACCUCCAACCCUUUGUGAACUAAACUUGUUGCUUCGGGGGCGACCCUGCCGGCUUUCGCCGGCGGGCGCCCCCGGAGGCCUUCAAACACUGCAUCUUUGCGUCGGAGUAUCAAUCAAAUUGAACAAAACUUUCAACAACGGAUCUCUUGGUUCUGGCAUCGAUGAAGAACGCAGCGAAAUGCGAUAAGUAAUGUGAAUUGCAGAAUUCAGUGAAUCAUCGAAUCUUUGAACGCACAUUGCGCCCUCUGGUAUUCCGGGGGGCAUGCCUGUUCGAGCGUCAUUUCACCACUCAAGCCUGGCUUGGUAUUGGGCGUCGCGGCUCCGCGCGCCUUAAAGUCUUUCCGGCUGAGUCGUCUGUCUCUAAGCGUUGUGGCAACUAUUCGCUUCGGAGUGCAGGCGGCCGCGGCCGUUAAAUCUUUCACAAGGUUGACCUCGGAUCAGGUAGGGAUA